rnacentral:rRNA from 1 species
AGAACGAACGCUGGCGGCAUGCCUAAUACAUGCAAGUCGAACGAACACUUCGGUGUUAGUGGCGCACGGGUGCGUAACGCGUGGGAAUCUGCCCUUGGGUUCGGAAUAACAGUUGGAAACGACUGCUAAUACCGGAUGAUAUCGAAAGAUCAAAGAUUUAUCGCCCAGGGAUGAGCCCGCGUAGGAUUAGCUAGUUGGUGAGGUAAAGGCUCACCAAGGCGACGAUCCUUAGCUGGUCUGAGAGGAUGAUCAGCCACACUGGGACUGAGACACGGCCCAGACUCCUACGGGA